UAUGAUGAUUACAUUAGCCCGGUUAUGGUGGAUCGUUUGUUUGCCCAAUUCAGCAUUUUGGAUGCCUGCCUCUAUGAUUUGGUAGAUUCAAAUGUAGGCAAAGUCCGUUCAAAAUCGAAGCAUGCAUUGAGUAGAGCGAACUCGUAUGCGUCGUUUACAUUAUGUAUGUUCUUCGUUGGUAUUCAGUACAUGAGCUUCAUUUCAUUUACCAUUUUGUACCUAAAAAACAAGUGGUGGUUUCGGUUCGAAUCCGUUUAAGCUUAAGUACCGGAUGUGAAACACGUAAAAACAAUUUGCCUGUUGAAGCACCAUAAUGGAUGGAAAAAUCACGCGCUUGGAGGUGUUGUGGGUGAUGUAUUGAAUCCGACGGCUGGCUACUCGGUAGAAAGCACACUUCCGAGUCCAGGCCAAUCUACGACAUGAAAGCGACAUGCGACUAUUCGCUUAAUCCCACCCGGAAAUGUGGCCAAUGACCAGGGUUUGGACUCUAACAUUCAAUACAAUUGGGCCUCCAACGUCAGUUUUGUCACUGAGCUCUAUCGGGAUACAGCAACUACUACAAUGGCCGUACCGCAAGGAUAGCCACCAAACACAACUUCAGUAAUGGGGUGUUACCAGAUAUUUUCGACUCACCUCCAUCUGUGAGCAGAAGUCCUAUUUUCCCGUUUGCCGCCAACAUCCUUU